AAAAGCUCUACAGAGUUAACGCCACUUUGUGGUGGGUUUCUUUUCUUUUUUUGGAUAUUAUAAUUCUUCAAACGCUUCCAGCUCAACUCCUUUCCUUCGUGGCAAAACGGAACAGAAACGACCCUUUUCACAGUUGCUGGCCAGCUGAAAGCAAGGCAGACUCGCUGUAAAUUCCUUUCCUGAAUGGCUUCAGUAAUUCUUUGGUUCCCAGUUUACGAAUAAAACAAGCUCCAGGCGAGCGGCGCAAGCAAGCCAAGUGGUUUUUAACAGCCCGGUGAACAGCUAACGCCGAGCUCUUUUGUGAGAGGCUUCGAGUUUCCUGUGGGAAACGCUGACGGCCAACAUGAAGGGUUUUCUCACUUCCUGUGGGCGAACUACUUAGGGGACCGACGGCUGCCUUGCGGGGGCGACUCCCUGCCCUCGCCUGUGAUAUUGAUGGAGGAAGGGGGUCUCCAUUUCCUGAGCGGGCUUCUGAUGAGGUUUCCUGUGUGGAUCAUCAAAGAAGUGGGCGAAGACCGAGGCUUUUUGCGCGUGCAUUAGGCGGGGUACGCUUCCCCCGAGUGGCGGAACAGCAGAUCAUAAAACGCCGAGCAUUUUUGCUGCUUCCCGCAGGGAUCCCCAAGAGGAGGCGGUGAGGUCGGAAGCGGCUCGAGCGCGUUCUGGGGUGGGAAGCCCGCCGUCGGGGCGCUUGUGCCCGCUUGUUUCCGCGGCGAUGCUGCAGUUGCAAGAAAGGGGCAUCUCGCCGUUUCGCGCCUGAAAAAAAUUAAUGUGGAAAUUCAGCGGUCCUAGAGGCGGCCCUGGAGCUCGGCUCAUUGUUCUCCGCGAACAUCAGUCGCCUCUCGACAGAGCCCUUCAAGCCGCGCCUGCCCUGCCCUUUUAAAUCCGCCCAGCUCCUCCUCGCGGAUUCACGGGACGAGCCCAGAGCCACCUGGGGCGUUGAGAGUUUCCCUCCCCCGCCCGUCCCUUUCCACGCCCCCUUUUGAACUGACGCCCAAUCCCCAGGGACUGGGGAAAUCUGUCCGUGCCGCGCCGGACCGGACCGGCACAGUCAGUUGGAGGAGAUGGGGGGGGAGGGGUGCAUCUCCUUCCAUUGGCUCAGGGUCACAACCAAUGGCGCGGCAAGGGAAAAGUGCCGUCAGGGAAAAGGAAAACCCUGAGACUGUGACGUAAAGAAACGGAGAGGAACAACGGGGUCGGGGGAAAUGGAAUCCCGGGAGAAGAAAGACUAGCGCUCAGCAAUAGAUUAAAAAAUUCUUUCUUAUUUAAAGCAAAGACUCUUGUUAUCUGUCAUCGGGAAGUCUUUACUUACGUUUCCAGAAACUCUUCCCAAAGAGAACCUGUUUUUCAAGAAUGAGCCAUUUUAUUUCGCUAGCAUCGGAUAAUUUUGUUUUGUUCCUCCUACGUCCUUGAAUUAGUCACUGUGGUAUAAAUGAAAUCUGAAUCUUAAAUUGAAGAGGCUAUUACAAUUCCAUAUUUGUAUUCAACACGGGCACGCAAACUCUACAAAACUUGUACUUAGGACUACUGGCAAGUUGCACAAGCAUUUGCAUUGUUCAAGAUUUUGCAAUGAGCUCGAGUGAUUCACUGAGGAUCUUUUCAACUUGGUAAAGCCUCCAUCUUCAGGAAGUUUGUGUGUCACAACCCUAAGCUAGUUUUCAGACUAGUUCCAGCAAAGUACUUCUUACUCAUGCUUACGCUUCCUGAAACAUGCUAUUCCAUUAUCUAUAAAAGAAUCUUAAGUAGUCUAAAUAUGCAUGAAGAAUAAGGAUAUUGCUUAACAUUCUGCACAAAGGAUUCUGAAAUACUAUUUCAGAACUAUUUAGCAGUGAAAAAUUCACAUUGAAUUAUGUAUGCUGGUUUCCUAAACACAAGGAAAUGCAGAACUGACAGGUUUCUAUCGCAAGCUUGUGUGCUGCCCUGACACAUGUUAGUGACAUUACAAAAACACUGAAGACAGCUUCUCAUCCUGUUCUAUAAGCACCUUAUAUGUUUAAUCACUUAGGCAGUGAUUAAACCAAAUUGCCCAUGAACAAAUUUACCUUGUUUCUAUUACCUUGCUUUUCUAUUUUGUAAAAAAGUGGAUCUAUUGUUUUCAGGGUUAUGAAUGCUGUAUUUUUGGAAUUUAAGUGAGACUACUGUAUGUUUGAUUUCUAUCCUUAAUAAAGAUCUGUCACUAACACUGAAAUAGUAAGUCCACCUUAAUAAAGUGUUGUUCAAUCCUU